rnacentral:ncRNA from 2 species
AACUUAUCGAGAGUGACCGAGGGAUCAGGCCCUAUGACGUCCGGCAACCUCCUUAUUAAGAAAAGGUGCCACUUCCUGCAGAAUGAAAUCAUUCUGAUAGAUAAGUC